rnacentral:rRNA from 1 species
CGGCGUGCUUAACACAUGCAAGUCGAACGGAGUUUACAGACGGAAGGCCUUCGGGUGGAAGGCUGUAAACUGAGUGGCGGACGGGUGAGUAACGCGUGAGCAAUUUGCCCUUUGGAGGGGAAUAACAGCCGGAAACGGUUGCUAAUACCGCAUAAGACACAACGGAGGCAUCUCUGAUGUGUGAAAGGAGAAAUCCGCCAAAGGAUGAGCUCGCGUCCCAUUAGGUAGUUGGUGAGGUAACGGCCCACCAAGCCGACGAUGGGUAGCCGGACUGAGAGGUUGGCCGGCCACACUGGAACUGAGACACGGUCCAGACUCCUACGGGAGGCAGCAGUGGGGAAUAUUGGGCAAUGGGGGAAACCCUGACCCAGCAACGCCGCGUGAGGGAAGAAGGUUUUCGGAUUGUAAACCUCUGUCCUAUGGGAAGAAGAAAGUGACGGUACCAUAGGAGGAAGCCCCGGCUAACUACGUG